rnacentral:lncRNA from 1 species
UGAGGGGGUGGAUCUGAAAUCUUAAGAAAGCAAAUUCAUUAAACACAUAUAAGCCAAACAAUUGAUUGCAUGAUUUGAAGGCUUAUAUAAUUCCAAAUGAAAGGAGGAGCUUUAACUUCAGGAUUUACUGAUUCAUACCUUUUAAUUUUGGAUAAAUUAAAUGACUAGACAUUUGAAUUCAUUUCAAAACUUUACUAUAAAUCAUCUCUUGGUUGAGCAAUUCACUUUAUAAAUACUCAAUAUUUUGUCAUCAUCAAAAAGGGGGAGAUUGUGGAGUGAUUGAUUAUACCCCUAUUUGAUUUUGAUGAGCUCAAAGCAUCUGAGUAUAUUUCAUGUUGUACUAAUGAAUUCAAUCUAGUGUUUCAGGCGAAUAUAUAUGAAUUUAUCUUUAAGAGCAUCGAGCCUUGGUUCAGAGUAAUUUGGCUAAGUGUUGAACUCAAUUGAGCCAAAGUCUGAAGCUCGAGUCGACUCCGGAAGAUUGCGAGUCGACUCUAAGUGUUUCAGAGGUUCUGGCACAAGCUCGAGUCGACUCCGGUACACUACGAGUCGAUUCCGACUGAGAACAGACAGAAGGACAGAAAGAUGAAUUUCAGACCCUGUCACUGAGUCGACUCCGAAGAUUUAGAGUCGACUC